GACGAACGCUGGCGGCGUGCUUAACACAUGCAAGUCGAACGGAAAGGCCCUGCUUGCAGGGUGCUCGAGCGGCGAACGGGUGAGUAACACGUGGGUGAUCUGCCCCUUACUUUGGGAUAAGCCUGGGAAACUGGGUCUAGUACUGGAUAGGACCAUGCUGUAGGUGGUGUGGUGGAAAGAUUAGUUUCGGUAAGGGAUGAGCUCGCGGCCUAUCAGCUUGUUGGUGGGGUAAUGGCCUACCAAGGCGUCGACGGGUAGCCGGCCUGAGAGGGUGGACGGCCACAUUGGGACUGAGAUACGGCCCAGACUCCUACGGGAGGCAGCAGUGGGGAAUAUUGCACAAUGGGCGCAAGCCUGAUGCAGCGACGCCGCGUGGGGGAUGACGGCCUUCGGGUUGUAAACUCCUUUCAGCCAUGACGAAGCCCUUGUGGUGACGGUAGUGGUAGAAGAAGCACCGGCUAACUACGUA
rnacentral:rRNA from 1 species